UAGCCAAUGGGAUAGAUCCAUGAUUUGAUUCGUCCCCGCACGUGCGGCUCGGUGACGGUGACUUGUCGCUCGAUUGCAUUGGUCAUCAACCGUCUUUUUUACAUGACCACGGAAUCAAAAACAUCAACAACAGCAAAUGAGUGGCGUGUUACGAUCGAAAACACAGGGUAACUAGGCUUGGAGGUGUGGAGAGCGAAAGAGAGGAGAAGAGAAAGGAAUUGGGAGUAGGAGAAGGGAGGUAAGGAUGAUAGUAGAAUCUCAUGUAAGCAAGGCCUGUCUCAAAAUUGGCUCAUUGUCGCACACACGCACUUGUGUAUGUCACCAUGGGUAAAUCUUUCAAAUGCACUGUAGGCCUACGAAGUGCACACCCAUUCACAGCACUCCAUUUUAGGAACUAUCAAUGUUGUACAUUGUAACAACAAGCCUGCGUGAAGUUUUAACUUGUCUCUCAUGAUGUUAGUGCUGCUUGUGUUAUUUCACAGUCGUCAUGAGCAAGAGGAAGCAAGAGGGUUGCAGAGACAUUCGGCAAUGUUUUGCCUCGUCUCAGAAAAGAAGCAAAGUAAAGAGGGGUGAGAAAAUGAGAAGUGUUAACCUAUCAGUUGUAGCAUUACAGUACAGUAGAGUUAAUAGACUACAAAAAACUAGUCAUAGAAUUAUUGUCAUUCAGAUCAAAAGUGGUUUGUUGACUAUCUGAGAAAGGAACAGUACUUGUUAUCUGAUAAUAAUUCUUCCCUGUGGCAUGUUCACUUUGGUGUGUUCAGAAUAAAGAGAGUGAAGCACAGAGAGAGCAAGAACGUUUGGAGGAUGAAAGCAGUGUGUGUCAAUCUGGUAGUGACAUAGAGGUGAGUAGCCUAAGAGAGGAGUUCUGGAAACUAGUAGAUCCUUGGCUUUUCCUAUGUUCAAUGCACGUUCAAUGCAAUUUGUAAGUUACUUUGGAUAAAAGCGUCUGCAAAAUGAUUGUCAAAGAGUAAAUAUCAAUGGUUUAAACCGAAUUGUGACAUUAGAGCAGAAUGCUGUUGGCAUUGGCACUGAUGUCUAUGGUGUGUUUCAGUAGUCUACUGGUAAAUACUAGUUUGCUGAUAUCUGUGAUAUUAUUCCUUCCAUGUUUCCUCUGUUGUGUUCAGAGUAGAGCUAGUGAGCCAGCGGGAGAGACAGAAAGUUUGGAGGAUGAAAGCACAGGGUUUGUCAAUCUCGUGGUGGCAUAGAGGUGAGUCGCCUAAGAGAGGAGUAAAUAUGAAAGGUUAAGACCGAAUCAUGACACUCAAGCAGAAUCCUUUUAACACACAUGUAUAUAGUGAAGGGUUGUCAAAAAAAUGGUUACACUAAUCGAUUAAAAUUAAAAAUAAUAAUAUCAGAUUAGAUACUUAUGUGCAACAGUAUCGAUAAUAAAUCGCUGUCUUCAUCAUCUUCAUCUCUUUUUUUUUCUCGCCUCCUUCAGUUGACACACAACUUUACACGGCAGCCUUGUGUUGCUAAUAUAGCAACAUAAUAAUUAUUAAGUCAAGUCUCAUUCAAAGUUACAAAACAUUGUACAAUGUAUGUCUUCAUAGAUUAAUCCAUAACUAAUCAGAAAACAUUUAGGUUACGUCCUUGACCUGUCUAAUUCUUUAACAGUGCAUCAUUCAAUACGGCUAAUGGUUUCACCAUGAGAUUAGCUCAGUGCGCUCUCUCGUGAAACUCAUCUAUGUACUUAUUAAACAAGUGGUUGAAAAUAUCAGAAAAUCUACGUUUUCUGAGGGGUAACAAAAGUUUUGGGGUGACUUCCAUUUAGGUCCAUGAGAUAGAUGCAUCUGGUUGGGUUUUACUCAACAUUGGCAAAUGUGAUGGUUAUGCAAUAAAAAAUGUAAUGGAAGUAAGAACUGGCUGGAUUUUGUGUCCUUGUUGUGGUGGUGCAGGUGUUUGUUUGUGCGUGUUUUGUAAAAAAGACAAAA